rnacentral:ribozyme from 1 species
CCAAACGUAACAAAGAAUCUCUCGUUCGUUUGUUCUUCUGUCGUUUGGGUGGUCGGUCUGGGAGCAUAGUGAUGAUAG